GUGGAACCGGCCCCACUAACCUGCAUCCAGCUGCCUCUUCCACCUGGGCCCUGCUCUCAGAUGGAAGUGUCACCAAACACCCAGAUCGCCGUGCUCCUGCUUCUCUGGACGGUGAGGCCCCAGGACAGAGACUGGGGUUUUUUGUUGCUGCUUCACCGCCCCCGCUGCUGGCCCCUGCAAGCGCCAAUUCUUGUGGUGCACGAGUUCCCCAGGAGAGGGGCCUCUGCACUACUGCCGAACGGAGCCCAGCACAGGAAGCCCCAGGGCUGCGACAGCAGGACGAUGAGCUGGCAGAGCUUCGCACAGGCUGCCUGGAAACUGGCACAGCUGCAUUCAUCAGAAGAAACAGUUGCAGCCGGGUGUGGUGGCUCACGCCUGUAAUCCCAACCCUUUGGGAGGCCGAGGCCGGCAGAUCACUUGAAGUCAGGAGUUCAAGACCAGCCUGGCCAACAUGAGUGGACACAACCUGAAAACCAACUGGACUGAGCAUCCUUCUCCUAAAAUCUCAGCCAGAAGCCACGAUGGAGGGUCCUGGGAAGGGAAGAGAUGUGAAGAUUUCUGUGAUUCUAAAACCUUGGGUCUGCCUGCAAACUUCUCUCUGAUCCCAGCCGAGAGCUGUGCACACGCUAGCUAGCCCUGUCACACAAUAGCCCAGUGUUCCCGUCACAGUGCCUGGGAAUGAGAGGCUUUUGAGGCCACAGAGCUAUGACAAGUCCCCAGGUUGAAUUGACUCUGGGAGGACAAAUUUCUGAGAGACUCACGGGACCCUUAUCCAGGACAACCUCACAAAGAUCCCUGAAACUGAGCUUCCUCUGCUUCGUGCAUAGUUUGAGGUAUAAACUUUCCUUGUGUCUCGGUCAGAUGAAGUGAAGGAUGAAUAUUAUCCCAGGCUAAAGUAACGAAAAGUCCAGAAGCCAGCGAUGACAGAGAUGUGUGUGGAAGAAGGCUGUGAGCAUUUCCAUCAAACCCUGUGAGUUUCCGAAGAUCUUAUCCCGAAGAUAUGUGUUUGGCCAAUAAAACACUGAAUAAAAAUCCA
rnacentral:lncRNA from 1 species